GGAGUUAGCCGGUGCUUCUUCUGUGAGUGAUGUCCUUCCUGCCGGCUAUUAACCCGCAGGCCUUCUUCCUCACUGAAAGUGCUUUACAACCCGAAGGCCUUCUUCACACACGCGGCAUGGCUGGAUCAGGGUUUGCCCCCGAUUGUCCAAUAUUCCCCACUGCUGCCUCCCGUAGGAGUCUGGGCCGUGUCUCAGUCCCAGUGUGGCUGAUCAUCCUCUCAGACCAGCUACGGAUCGUCGCCUUGGUGAGCCGUUACCUCACCAACCAGCUAAUCCGACAUAGGCUCAUCCGAUAGCGCGAGGCCCGAAGGUCCCCCGGCUUUCCCCCGGUAGGGCGUAUGCGGUAUUAGCCUGGGUUUCCCCAGGUUAUCCCCCGACUACCGGGGCAGAUUCCUAUGCAUUACUCACCCGUCCGCCGCUCGCCACCAGGGAGCAAGCUCCCCGUGCUGCCGCUCGACUUGCAUGUGUUAGGCCUGCCGCCAGCGUUCAAUCUGAGCCAUAACAACAACUCGACACNGCGGCGGUCGUCGACGACGGCGACAGU
rnacentral:rRNA from 1 species